rnacentral:tRNA from 10 species
AAGAUGUUAGCUGUGUUGCUUAGGGUCUGAUCCUGCACCGCUGAAGUCAAUGGAAGUUUUGUCAUUGACUUCAAUAGGAGCAGGAUUUGAACCUUAUGCUCUAUCAGAACACACAGG